rnacentral:tRNA from 1 species
UCCCAGAUGGUCCAGGGGCCAAGACUCUGCACUCCCAAUGCAGGGGGCCUGGGUUCAAUUCCUGGUCAGGGAA